rnacentral:misc_RNA from 1 species
UCGCGGCUUAUCACCGGCAGUCCCCUUAGAGUGCCCAACUAAAUGAUGGCAACUAAGGGCGAGGGUUGCGCUCGUUGCGGGACUUAAACCAACAUCUCACGACACGAGCUGACGACAACCAUGCAGCACCUCUGCUGGCUUCCUUGCGGAUCAGUCCAUGUUUCCAAAGACUUACUACCAGUAGUUCAAGCCCAGGUAAGGUUCUUCGCGUUGCGUCGAAUUAAACCACAUGCUCCACCGCUUGUGCGGGCCCCCGUCAAUUCCUUUGAGUUUCAACCUUGCGGCCGUACUCCCCAGGCGGGAUACUUACUCCGUUAGGUGCGGCACCGGCGGUAACCCGCCGACACUUAGUGUCCAUCGUUUAGGGCGUGGACUAC